UAUCAAUAAGCGGAGGAAAAGAAACUAACAAGGAUUCCCCUAGUAACGGCGAGUGAAGCGGGAUGAGCUCAAAUUUGUAAUCUGGCGGCCUUUGGCCGUCCGAGUUGUAGUCUGGAGAAGCGUUUUCCGCGUCGGACCGUGUACAAGUCCCUUGGAACAGGGCGUCGUAGAGGGUGAGAAUCCCGUCUUUGACACGGACUGCCGAUGCUUUGUGAUGCGCUCUCGAAGAGUCGAGUUGUUUGGGAAUGCAGCUCAAAACGGGUGGUAAAUUCCAUCUAAAGCUAAAUACGGGCGAAAGACCGAUAGCGAACAAGUACCGUGAGGGAAAGAUGAAAAGCACUUUGGAAAGAGAGUUAAACAGUACGUGAAAUUGUUGAAAGGGAAACGCUUGAAGUCAGUCGCGUCUCCUGGGACUCAGCCUUGCUUCUGCUCGGUGUACUUCCUGGGGUUGACGGGCCAGCAUCGAUUUUGACCGUCGGAGAAAGGCCUUGGGAACGUGGCACCCUUUGGGUGUGUUAUAGCCCUCGGUCGUAUGCGACGGUUGGGAUCGAGGACCGCAGCACGCCUUUUUGGCCGGGGUUCGCCCACGUACGUGCUUAGGAUGCUGGCGUAAUGGCUUUAAGCGACCCGUCUUGAAACACGGACCAAGGAGUCUAACAUGCCUGCGAGUGUUUGGGUGGUAAACCCGGACGCGAAAUGAAAGUGAAAGGUUGGGACCUCUGUCGUGGAGGGCACCGACGCCCGGACCAGACCUUUUGUGACGGUUCCGAGGUAGAGCAUGCAUGCUGGGACCCGAAAGAUGGUGAACUAUGCUUGAGUAGGGUGAAGCCAGAGGAAACUCUGGUGGAGGCUCGUAGCGAUUCUGACGUGCAAAUCGAUCGUCGAACUUGAGUAUAGGGGCGAAAGACUAAUCGAACCAUCUAGUAGCUGGUUCCU
rnacentral:rRNA from 1 species